CUGGGUUGGCAAAAAAGUUUGUUUGGGUUUUUCUGUAACAUCCUAUGUAAUAAUCCAAAUGAACUUUUUGACCAAACCAA
ensembl:miRNA